GUUAUCCCCAUCCAUAACUCCUCCCAAAGGGCCCAAUAGCCUGCCUUCCAGCAGAGCUAAUAAUCCAUGGUUUAAGUUAUGCAUUCGGACUGUAAGAAAUCUGAAUAAAACGUCAUUCUCCCUUUUAUCCAACUGGCAAAAUGCAUACUCUUCCUCUAAACUCAAUUGAAUGGAGUUCUUUGAGAAGACUUCCUGAUAACAUGCUGAGGAAAUCCAAGCCA
rnacentral:lncRNA from 1 species